CCUACGGGUGGCAGCAGUGGGGAAUAUUGCACAAUGGGGGAAACCCUGAUGCAGCAAAGCAGCGUGAGUGAAGAAGGAUUUCGGGAUUUAAAGCUCUAUCAGCAAGGAAGAAGAUGAAGGUACGUGAUUAAGAAGCCCCGGCUAACUACGUGCCAGCAGCCGCGGUAAUACGGAGGGGGCAAGCGUUAUCCGGAUUUACUGGGUGUAAAGGGAGCGCAGAGGGCAGUUCAAGUCUGGAGUGAAAGCCUGGGGCCCAACCCCGGAACUGCUCUGGAAACUGUGCGGCUAGAGUACUGGAGGGGCAGGCGGAAUUCCUAGUGUAGCGGUGAAAUGCGUAGAUAUUAGGAGGAACACCAGUGGCGAAGGCGGCCUGCUGGACAGUCACUGACGUUGAGGCUCGAAAGCGUGGGGAGCAAACAGGAUUAGAUACCCCAGUAGUC
rnacentral:rRNA from 1 species